rnacentral:rRNA from 1 species
CCUACGGGAGGCAGCAGUGAGGAAUAUUGGUCAAUGGACGCAAGUCUGAACCAGCCAUGCCGCGUGCAGGAAGACGGCUCUAUGAGUUGUAAACUGCUUUUGUACGAGGAUAAACGCAGAUACGUGUGUCUGUCUGCACGUAUCGUAUGAAUAAGGAUCGGCUAACUCCGUGCCAGCAGCCGCGGUAAUACGGAGGAUUCAAGCGUUAUCCGGAUUUAUUGGGUUUAAAGGGUGCGUAGGCGGGAGGAUAAGUUAGUUGUGAAAUCGUGAGGCUCAACUUCGAAAUUGCCUGUGAUACUGUUAGGCUAGAGAGUAGUUGCGGUAGGCGGAAUGUAUG